AACGAACGCUGGCGGCAUGCCUAACACAUGCAAGUCGAACGAGACCUUCGGGUCUAGUGGCGCACGGGUGCGUAACGCGUGGGAACCUGCCCUUAGGUUCGGAAUAACUCCCCGAAAGGGGUGCUAAUACCGGAUAAUGUCUUCGGACCAAAGAUUUAUCGCCUUUGGAUGGGCCCGCGUUGGAUUAGCUAGUUGGUAGGGUAAAAGCCUACCAAGGCGACGAUCCAUAGCUGGUCUGAGAGGAUGAUCAGCCACACUGGGACUGAGACACGGCCCAGACUCCUACGGGAGGCAGCAGUGGGGAAUAUUGGAAAAUGGGGGAAGGCAUGAUCCAGCAAGGCCGCGUGAGUGAUGAAGGCCUUAGGGUUGUAAAGUUCUUUUACCCGGGAUGAUAAUGACGGUACCGGGAGAAUAAGCUCCGGCUAACUCCGUG
rnacentral:rRNA from 1 species